GCUUCGUAGGCGCGCGAAUACGUCGUGAGAAAGGAUUUCCUUCUCCUUUUUUUCCGUCCUCUCGUGAAAGUAGCGAAGCGUUUCGUAACUAACUAAUCUUGUGCACGAACCCAAAUUUUAUUUCGUCACGCGAAACAACGCGCCGUUAUUCGCUCGUACAGAUAAUCAUUUUACUAUUCUAUCUAUUACGAAAGUUAUAAUUCAGAUCUUUACUCUUUUCUAUUUUUCUUUUCGAGAAGAAUCACCAUGACGUCCAGGUGAUUGUCCGGACGAGUAAAAUACUCGAAAGCCAUCAAGCCGGGAAAAUGUCAAGGUUGGGGAUCGCUUGCUCGAAACACGUUUACCGAGUGUAUUUACGUUCUUAUAUUCCGGACUGGUUAACCGCUGGCUAUCAAGUGCCUACGUUCCACUUUUACCGCGUUCCUUCUGUCAACCGUUGUUACGCCUCUGAGCCGCAAUUACGUCCGACAGCGACAAAGCAGUGACUUUAAUGAAUGGAAGUCAUAUAAUAAUUUUCUUGCGACGGAAUAUUUAUACGCAACAUGAAGGUUUUGAAAAUUGGAUUUUUGUCAAGAUUGCAAGAAUGUAAGGUGCCGAUUUAUACCUUCAACUAAUAUUUAUAUCGCGGCAAUAGGAUAUUUAUGGUGUACUUAUGGAGAGCCGCAGAUAGCAUAGAAGAUACGGACGGGAGAAAUCCCAUAAGAGAGAAUUGAGAAAGCGAGGAACACACGGUUGUGGUAUUCCAAUACGUUUGGACAUGUGAGCGCGCGCAAACAAGCGUUCGAGCCGAAUUUUUACACUUCGAAACGUAUAAAAAUACGAGACAGAGCCGCGCCGGCGAGCUUAAUCAAUUUUCAGGCAUUAGCAUAUUUUGAAAUUCAUCUUACAAGUUGCCGUGUUUCCACACGAAUAGAAAUCUACGAUAUUAAAAUUAUAUUCAUAUCGACAUCCUGUUAUCGAAAUCUGCCAUCAACAGAUAGCGAAUAAAAUCGGCGCAUAUUUUACGCAAAAUAGUAAUUUCAAUUGCGCAGACGAGGACAAAAAAGGUUUAGGCGGCUGUCACGUUGUAUAAUGCACCGUUAUCGAAUUGUCAAGUCGAACAUGUAUCGAUACGUUUGCGCGAAGAAUUUCUGAGUGCCGCGAGAACUCUUUAUUCCAGACGCGCGACUGCGCUCGCAUUGAUUAUGCGUCGGAAUUGCACAAGUUUUCGCGAAGAGCAGCAAUGUGGAAUACAGUCAAGGUUCUUUAAAUAUCAAGGGGCAACAUUUCUCGGCAAUAAGUUUAAAUUGUUAUUUCAUUGCUGAUCUUAACAUUGAAACUCAGACGUGAGCGAGCGUGAUGAGAGAGAUUGCACGACGCGCGAACACAACGCGUAGGUCCGAAGGUAUUAAAAAUGGUGUACAAAUGCCGGCGAGAGAAAGUAGCGCCUCUGCGAAGGCUCUUCCCAUCUUGUAAUCGUUAUGUAUAGGACAUUUUCUGCGUGUUUGUUUCUUUCGCCCGUAAUAUACUGUAAUGAAAUUGAGAUUAACGCCCGUUUGUCCACGAGCUGGUCCUUUUCUCAAAAGAUCACUCGCUGCUAAUCAACGACUCCGUUUAGCUAAAUCUCGUGAGAAACGAUGAGGUAAGAUAAUUACACUUGCGCGAUGGCGCCCGAUGUAAACCGCAGACGAGUUAUUACCGGCGCAAGAUUGGCCGAGAAUUACGCGUGAAGACAUCCGAUACGCAUAACUCAAUCGCUCGGCGAUUAAAGUCCUGUAAUGCUCGUAAAAUCGCUCGACCUCGCUUUCGCCGGACUUCCUGCCGCGAAUGACGGAUAUCUGCAUUUUAAAGAUGAUUUAAAAGCAAUAAGAAUCCGCUCGGCGAAGCUGGCGAAUUUCUAAUCUGCGAAGUCGGAUUGUGGAUGAAGUUUGGGAACUCCUUUCUCUUCCUUUCGAUUCGUCUUACGAUUCUCGAUGAAUAAUCAAUUAGGAAAUGUAAUUCCGCGGACGGCCAACCGAACGCAUAUUUGCAGACAAGACGACGGCAUGCAGAAGCGAGAUGACGACCGCAGCUUGAGAGAGGUGCCUCGUUCACGCGGAUGUCAAACAGAUCAGUUUAGCGGUAAAGUGGAAAGUGAAGGUACGCAGCAGCGCGCGUUGGCAAUGACGUUGGACGCUCGUGUGGUGUUCUUUCUCAGGUGCAACAUUUCCUUCUAUUGCCCGGACGCACGCACACGUGUAUGCAUUCCCAUUCGCGCAUUCGUACACCAUAUGCGCGUAAAACAAAGCUUAUGUAAACGCGAGUGAAACCGCCGAUGUGCCAAAUCCGACGUGUCAGUGUUAUCGCUCAUUCGGAUUUCCUACAUUCUCGUUUCACUGUAAAUCGAUCCAAAUUUUUUGUAGUGCCAAAUAGCGAGCAUAUUCGAAUAUAUUUUUUUUUCAAUUGAAGGCUUUGUUCGAUCUGCGGAUCAAUUAAUUAGACGAGAAUUCUUCAAUUAAACAAGCAUCAUUCGCGCAAUGAAUUUAUUUCUGUCACAUGUAUAUAGAAUAUGAGAGCGAUCUGAUGACAAUACAAUUAUAUAUUCGAUUUUAUCGAUUAGACAUCCUUUGGCUCGCCUAUGAUGCUAUCGACAAAAAUACCGGCCACAAAGAAAGAGUCUAGAAAAGGAUUUGCAAACCGGAGAACAUUCCUCAAAGAAUAUCAUCUCACUCAAAGGGGGAAAAAAAAAAAAAAAUUAACGUCAAUGGCGACCUGCUAGAACUGGUCAGGCGUAGUUCCGAGAUAGAGCGAGAUCGCAGAAACCAGACGAUCGAGUCAGUGUGUACUUUAGGAAUUCAAUGUUAGAGAAUGAUCGGAACUUUGCACCGCUUUGGAAAGCUGAACUAACGUAAAGAUCACUACUGGCACUUAAUCGAAGCGAUAUGCGAGUGGCGAAAAAAGUUCGGUCGAAUCUUUUAGAACAGGAACGUCGGCGGGGAGAAAGGCGAUCGACAAAGUGAGUAACGGAGAGCGCGCGUACCUGCGACGACGGUCAGGACGACGCAGAGGAGCGCCGCUUCCUGGAGCUUCAUCGUUCUCGCGCGUGUGCGUCCCGGCGACAGUUCAGAGGGCCGACAGUCGCGUGUGCGGGAUCCCGAUUCACGUGCCUCGACGCCCUCGUUCAGCUCGUGCGAUCACCGUAGCCACGGCGAUGUAUCAUCCGACCGAUCCAACGGGCUGAUCCGCUGUCGCGACACUGCCGGGGAUACGCCGCCGCCACCGGCGCGGCACUUCUCGGGAACUCGGCCGACCGGAGGAACCGUUCUCAGCCCAUUGGCUGACCACUUUCUAUCGGCGGCGGCGGCAACCGCCGAGAAAAGCUGUCUCUCAUAUCGGACACGACACGUCGCAGCGUGAGAUUCGCGUCUCGCUCGCGGGCAAACUUGCCUUCGAGCCUCUCUGCUCGUUUCGCUUUCAAAACAGGGCCGGAUCGGUAUUGCCCCGUGGCUAUGCUUUUUUUUUCCUCUUGUCGCUGGGAAUCGCAAAACACUUUGUACAAUGCACAAGUUAUGCUGAGAUAUUUUUGGAAACUGGAAUAAGAGAACAUUAAGUUCUUGCACGGCAAUUGUUUCCAUUUAGAAACGCAAUUGUGUAAAUGAGUUUUAUUUAAUACUGAAAAAAGGCCCUCUCGAAACUCGAUAUGUAUAAGAAUCUUUGCAUGCUGCAACAGUAUUACUAAAUAUAAAUGUGCGCACUAGAUUCGCACAAUCUUAAUUAUUCUAAUAUCAAUUAUGCUAUUAUAUAGACAUUAAUAAAAUAUUUUUAGACUUCUCUCUCGAAA